rnacentral:tRNA from 4 species
GGAGUCGUGGCAGAGUGGUCGAUCGCGCACGCUUGGAAAGCGUGUAUAGGGCAACCUAUCGAGGGUUCGAAUCCCUCCGACUCCGCCA